rnacentral:rRNA from 1 species
UACGUAGGGUGCAAGCGUUGUCCGGAAUUAUUGGGCGUAAAGAGCUCGUAGGCGGUUUGUCGCGUCUGCUGUGAAAACGCGAGGCUCAACCUCGCGCCUGCAGUGGGUACGGGCAGACUAGAGUGCGGUAGGGGAGAUUGGAAUUCCUGGUGUAGCGGUGGAAUGCGCAGAUAUCAGGAGGAACACCGAUGGCGAAGGCAGAUCUCUAGGCCGUAACUGACGCUGAGGAGCGAAAGCGUGGGGAGCGAACAGG